rnacentral:lncRNA from 1 species
GACCCUGUCUCAAAGUGAAAAAUAAAAAAGGGCUGGGGAUGUAUCUCAGUGCAAAGGUCCUCUUGAAUAGUUGAGACUGCAGGCACAUGCCACCAUGCCUAGCUCUACAUCACCUUCUAUGAACUAGUCUCAGAAGUCAUGCAGCAGGCACUUCUACCAUAUUCUUUAAAAAAAAUAAACUUUACAGGUGGUUGUAUGACCAACUUAUUUCCACAUUCAAAUGAUACAGUAACUAAUUGGACUCCUGUGUAUGCCAAGCAGCACAUUUCAGGCUGUGCAUCCAGUAUAUUUCAUG